UGAGAAAUCUAAAGCGGACAGGCUAACUCUCGUUAAGGAACUCUGCAAAAUGGCCCCGUAACUUCGGGAGAAGGGGUGCCUUUAGGCGUGAGUAUACAAGCGAUACAAAGCGCUUUGAGGUCGCAGUGAAGAGGCUCAAGCAACUGUUUAACAAAAACACAGGUCUAUGCGAAGCUGUAAGGCGAAGUAUAUGGGCUGACACCUGCCCAGUGCCGGAAGGUUAAGAGGAGGAGUGAGAGCUCCGAAUUGAAGCCCCGGUGAACGGCGGCCGUAACUAUAACGGUCCUAAGGUAGCGAAAUUCCUUGUCGGGUAAGUUCCGACCUGCACGAAUGGUGUAAUGAUUUGAGCGCUGUCUUGACGGGAGGCCUGGUGAAAUUGUAUUACCGGUGAAGAUACCGGUUACCUACAGUAGGACGGAAAGACCCCAUGG
rnacentral:rRNA from 1 species